ensembl:rRNA 5S_rRNA 5S ribosomal RNA
GUCCACAGCCACACUACCCUGAACUUGCCCUAUCUCCUCUGAUCUUGGAAGCUAAGCAGGGUCCGACCUGCUUAGCUAGUCCUUGAAUGGGAGACCACCUGGCAACACUGGGUGCCACAGGCU